UUUAAGAAAGCUUAGUGCGUGUGGGUGUGUGUGGUAUAUGGCCAGAAGAGAUAUACAGAAAGAGGAAGCAGACGUGUUGUAGAUGCAAACGGAGCAGAGUUGGUGGAUAUCCGGAUUUUAACCGGCCCUGGAGGUAACGAGUCUCCCCUUGGUUUU